CUCGAUCGCUCACUGUCAACAAGUGUCAACAAAGUUAAUUUCUCUUUCUGUCUAGAAGACCAGAAGCAGAGAGAGCACAGUAAAAAUGGCGAGCGUGGCGAUAACGAUGGCGAUGGUGGCCGCACAGUUCUCGGACGUUGGCUUGAACACUCUAGUCAAGGCCGCCACUACCAAUGGCAUGAGCAAAUUCGUGUUCAUUGUGUAUUCUAACGCCUUAGCCCUCUGUUUUCUUCUUCCUUCUACCUUCCUUUAUCACAGGAAGGUGGUUCCUCCCCCAAUCUCAAGGUCAAUUAUCGGUAGAAUCUUCCUGUCUAGCGUGCUCAGCUGUGCAGUGCAGACACUGAUGUAUACUGGUAUUCAAUUAAGCUCUCCCACUUUGUCUUCGGCUAUGUUGGAUCUUGUUCCUGCUUUCACUUUCAUCCUUGCCAUUGUUUCCAGGAUGGAAAAUCUGGAUUUGAAAUUUCGAAGCAGUCAAGCGAAAGCUAUUGGAACAGUAGUCUCAAUCACAGGAGCAUUAAUUGUGACCUUAUACAAGGGUCUUCCAGUUACUCCUCAGCCCCUACCAGAGAAGCCACUGAGCUGGGUUUUGCUCUCAUCACAGCAUUCGAAUUGGCUGCUGGGAGGCUUUCUCCUUUCAAUUGCCAGCUUUUGCAACUCUCUCGUAAUUGUUGUCCAGUUUUGGGUUCUAAAGGACUAUCCCGCAGAGUUCAUGGUCACAACCAUUUGUUGCAGUUUUGUGGUAGUUCUUUCUGCCAUCGUAGCUCUCAUUGCAGAGGGAGCUUCUGAAGCUUGGAUACUCAGGCCUGAUAUGGAAUUGGUAGCCAUAUUUUAUUCAGCAAUAUUUCAGGUAUCAAUCCGAAGUGUUGUGCUUGCAUGGGCUAGUCGAAAGAAGGGGCCAAUUUAUGUGGCUAUGUUCAACCCUUUAGGGAUGGUCAUUGCAAUUGGCAUGGGAGUCAUAUUUCUGAGGGAGACUCUUUAUCUGGGAAGCAUGAUAGGAGCAGGUAUAAUAGGAAUUGGGUUUUACUCAGUGAUGUGGGGUCUGGCUCAAGAGGAAAAGAUGGUGAAUGAGAAGGACAAGAUUCAGAAGAAGAAUAUGCCAUCUUCUACAACCCCUUUGCUACAGAAUAAAAGCUUGGAUGUGUAGAGAAACUAGGACUCUGUUUUUCUAAGCAGUAACUGUCAUGAUAUACCAGGAUGGAGACAAGCCAGGUAGGAUCACAACUCACAAGGAUGGCAACAAUACUAAGGGUAAAUUAGGCUUUCCACUUGUAACACAUUUGUAAAUUAUGUAACUCUCUUUUUAUUACUAUUUUGAAAAUUUUACAUACUAUGUAAAAUGAAA